GCCAGUGUCGCUCAGUGGAUAGAGCGUCAGCCUGCAGACUGAAGGGUCCCGAGUUCGAUUCCCGGUCAGGGCA
rnacentral:tRNA from 1 species